rnacentral:rRNA from 1 species
GUGGGGAAUUUUGGACAAUGGGCGCAAGCCUGAUCCAGCAAUGCCGCGUGCAGGAAGAAGGCCUUCGGGUUGUAAACUGCUUUUGUACGGAACGAAACGGUCCGGGUUAAUACCCUGGGCUAAUGACGGUACCGUAAGAAUAAGCACCGGCUAACUACGUGCCAGCAGCCGCGGUAAUACGUAGGGUGCAAGCGUUAAUCGGAAUUACUGGGCGUAAAGCGUGCGCAGGCGGUUUUGUAAGACAGGCGUGAAAUCCCCGGGCUCAACCUGGGAAUUGCGCUUGUGACUGCAAGGCUGGAGUGCGGCAGAGGGGGAUGGAAUUCCGCGUGUAGCAGCGAAAUGCGUAGAUAUGCGGAGGAACACCGAUGGCGAAGGCAAUCCCCUGGGCCUGCACUGACGCUCAUGCACGAAAGCGUGGGGAGCAAACAGGAUUAGAAACCCGGGUAGUCCC